rnacentral:lncRNA from 1 species
CAGCGAUCUGACACGCGUGGUUCUUCUGCAGCGGAAAUAUAAACCAAAGGACAACCAUGAAGACCUUGGCAUUGCUGACACUUCUGCUGACCAUGAAUGGUUCUGCAGUGGGACAAAUGAUGAAAUCUAAUAAGACGGGCUUUGUUGGACAGGAUGUACUUUUAUCAUGCAACUGUUCCAAUGACCCCAAAGAACUGAUAUGGCAGAAAGAUCAGAGAGUAGUGAAUGUUCAUCCGCAUGACAAAAGCAUCAUAGAUGAUUCCUACGUAGAUAGGACGCAACUCUUCCUAAACAAGGAGAAGAGAAACUGCUCCCUGCUGCUCCACAACUUCUCUUCAGAAGAUGAAGGACUGUACACCUGUCAUGCCCUAGUCAGUGUUGGUGACAACCUCUGGUCAAAGAGGUCAUCAGAAGUUAAUCUAACAAUGUCUGAAAUGAAGAACGACUCUAAAACAAAUGGCCAAACUGGAGGCAGUUCUGUCACAGCUGUGUCUGUUAGUGUUCCCAUAUUGGUAGUAGUGCUUAUACUGGCAGCUAGCCUGCUUCUAACCCUACUGAUCAGAAGACGACAUCGGACAAACACGGUAAUCAGUCUUUUGUCACUAAAUGACACAAAACAUCAUAGAAAAAUAAAAAAUCUCCACAAACAUUAAAAUAUCUAAAAUACACUAGCCUAAGGGGUUGUUCACACUGGAUGCCCGUUUUUUUUUUUUCAAAUUAAUUUUCUAUGUAAACAUAAACCAUUGCACUGCAUCUUACUGUUUAUUCAGCGUCUCACGGCAUUAGCGUCACAUAUUUGAGACACCAUGUUAAGCUAAAAACAGAUGAACUUAAAAUGUGCUUCAUGACCGUUGCACUCGAUCUUCUUUUAAUUGCAAGAAUAUUACCCUUAAUGACAACGUUUGAGUUUUGCCAUGGUGCACUAAAGAAAUUGAUUUUAUGACCUCUUUAUAUACAUUUCUCCUAUUAUUAUUUCCAUUUGAAUGAACCGUUUUAGUUGUAAAGUAAAACCUCUUUCUGAAGUAGCCAAAUUCCUUGAAUAGUCCUCACGGCAAAAGUAAACCUACACCAGUUGCAGUCACAUAAUUUUAGAGCACAGCUUUAGCGCUUAAGGUCCUGUGUUUGACACGUUUAGUCAUAGUACAUGAAACAUUUCCAAAAAGCUUGACUGUGAUUUCUUUAUUCUUUUUUGCUAUAGGACACUGGUUUACUGGCUGAGAGACCUAUGCUAAGGAAUGUGUGAAGUUCUCUUGCUUGACAGUUUAAUGGACUAACUUCUGUUGUAAUGCAAGGUCCUUCACAACAACAAUGGACAAUACGAGGCCUUAGCCCUAAACAAAUGCGUUUGCAUGUGGGCAUCACAUGGUGCGUGCCGAUCCGUCUCGCUUUGGGACAGAUCAAUGUGCAGUCUUUAGUUGUAACACUGUUUGAUUACCACUGAAUUGUGAAUACACUGUGAAUAUACAUUCUGUAGGCAUUACAGUUGUGUAACUUGACAAGAUUCUCCUUGUAGGAACUGUCUUUAUUCAUUCUUUGAAGAACAUGUAAUAGUAGGGGACGUGCAGUUUAUAUUUUGCCUUUUCCUCUCUCUUUGAGACACAUUGGUGGUCUCAAUCCUAAACAGGCUUUUCAAAUCACCUUAUUUUAUUGUUCAUAUGUGUACAGCAAUCAUUUACUAACACAUCAUGUAAGCUUCUUUACAUUUACUCUUGUAUGGGUUGAUUUCCUCAGCCUGUGCUGAUUUUCAUUUAUGUGGAAGAAAUAUGUGGCACUCCCUAUGGGAUAUGUUUGCUUUUUUACUGUACUAAAUUUCAUUUACUUUUAAAUGAAUUCUGUAAAGUGCUUCAAACCUGCAGAGGCAAUAAACC